rnacentral:lncRNA from 1 species
AGCGCCGUCCGGGCCAAGCAUUCCGAGGAGCUGGGAUGAAGCGUUCCCCGCGAAGGAGUUGGAGUUGGGCUCGCAGACACAAAGCCAAGUUUAUAACCAGAGAGAAAUGUUUAAACAACAAUCUAGAGAAACCAAGAUUCUUAGCCCUGGAAUAAAAGAUCCCCAGCGUGUGGAGAGGAGCACAUGGGAAAAGGGAAAGAACACGAAUCCACAAGUAUUCCAUGUAGAAGAGGGAUUUCCUUCUAUGUGCUAUUUCAGAGCCACUUUUCUGAGAAAAGCCAAAAACAAACAGUUGUAAAGUGUCCUAAAUGUUGAUCCUUUCCCUUGGGUGAGAUGUUCUUCAAUGCUGGAAAUCAUCCCCCUCUCCCCAAACUCCCAAAGCUCCUUUGCACUUUUCUUAGGACUGUUACCACAUUAAGAC